rnacentral:rRNA from 1 species
AACGCGAAGAACCUUACCUGGGUUUGACAUGCACUGGACCGCGCCAGAGAUGGCGCUUUCCGCAAGGACUAGUGCACAGGUGCUGCAUGGCUGUCGUCAGCUCGUGCCGUGAGGUGUUGGGUUAAGUCCCGCAACGAGCGCAACCCUUGCCAUUAGUUGCCAACACGUAAAGGUGGGAACUCUAGUGGGACUGCCCGGGUUAACCGGGAGGAAGGUGAGGAUGACGUCAAGUCCGCAUGGCCCUUAUGUCCAGGGCUACACACGUGCUACAAUGGUCGGUACAAUAGGCUGCAAGACCGAAAGGUGGAGCAAAUCCAAAAAAGCCGGCCCCAGUUCAGAUUGAGGUCUGCAACUCGACCUCAUGAAGUUGGAAUUGCUAGUAAUGGCGUAGUCAGCAACAACGCCGUGAAUACGUUCCCGGGCCUUGUACACACCGAUACUC